UAUAUAUAUCAGGCACAAAAGAGGUUGUUUCCCGAGAUAAGACGUCCAUAGAAAUAAGCUGCAAAAUUACAAGCAGCUCUUGACUUUUGGAAUGGUGAUCAAAUGAAUCUUCCACAAUUCUCAAACUGAUCAUUUGGCCCUUACUCAGCCAAAGUGCUUUGGGAAGGGCAAUUACAAUAAAAUACCCUUCUGAUAUAUACCAUAUUAUAGUCGUCAAACACUGAGGUUCAAAAGUUUUUUUCUCCAAAAGAUUGGGCUUAGAACUAAUCCUUGCCCAAGGGAUUAUGGUUAUCAUCAGAAAACAAAAUGUAGUAUCUCACUUCACUCCACAAUCCACAUAUACAUAGCAAAAUUGUCCAUAUCAAUGCAAAAACCAUUGAUGUAAUCCAGUCAUAACUAGAAAUUGAUUUUUCACUCUCCCAAUGGUUAUCACACUCGCCACCAGUCCAUGCCCUUAAUCACAUUGGCAUAUCAAAUGGCUGCCUUUUUCCUUUUUGUAAAAGCAUGAGAUAAAUUACCUCAAGUAAAUAAUUUCACGGAUCAAUAAAAUUUGUUCAAAAUUUUCCAUUACAUUAUGAAAUAAGGGAAUGUUUUGAGGUCUUCUUCAAAAACAGUUUUUGAUAACAGUUCUUAAAAACAAUUUUGAAUUGUUUUUAAGAAUAAAAUCUGUUUUUUCCUCAAAACAAAUUUUAAUUGUUUUUAAGAAUAAAAUUCUGUUUGGAAAUUCAAAUAUGAAAAAUAGUUUUUCCCACUUAUUCUCCAAGAAGGUACUAUGUGCUUAUGUACGAUAUAGAAGUUUACAAAGUAUUAUUCAUGUCUUCAUUCAUUGCUGAGAUCAUUCUACAAAAAACAACUGAAAACACUUAAAAUUUGUUCUAAAAAACAACUCAUUUUUAGAACAAAUUCUCAGAAAACUGUUUUCUGUUUUGCUAACCAUGUUUUGCGAGUUAUACAACUGUUUCAUGUUCUAAAGAACAGAAGAGAGUGUUUUCAAAAACAAUUGCCAAACAUGGCCUAAAAUCCUCAUGUUUUGUUUUGGGUCCAGUUUAAAGAAUGUGAAGUGUCCAAAUUUUAUAAUAAAACCUGUUACUGAUCGGCUCUGAUAUGUGGCCUUGUUACUGUGCCACACUACUAUCAUGGUAUGACAAAAUUUACUAAUUAUAUAUAUUUUUUUUACUUUAAUUUUGACCCCAGCAAAAGAAGGAAAAAAGAAACAAAAGGCAAACAACAAGAAACAAAAGAUUCCUCUUAAUCACACCACUUCCUGCAUGGAAGGGAGGAUGUUCCCAUAAGAAGUCAGCAUGAGAUGAUAAACAAAAAUAGAAACAGGAUGAUAAAAAGUGUUAAUUAGUAUUUACUGUCUUAAAUAUAGGUGAGAUGGCUUUGUGUGCAUGCAUAAAUUUUCUACACUAAUGAUUGACAAUACAUAAGGAAUUUUCCAAACCAAAAAAUUAUAAAUAACGGUUAAAAUUAGCCAUCACAUGUGUUGGAGGUAUCAUAAUAUAAACAGGGGCUUAUACUUUUUUUUAAAAAUCUUAUACGUGAUAUAAUCUGCACCUCUGUUUUGGGGCAAACAAAUUUACAAAUAAGGUUAUGGGUAUCCAUGAUGGCUUUUU
rnacentral:lncRNA from 1 species